UACGUAGGGGGCAAGCGUUGUCCGGAUUUAUUGGGCGUAAAGCGCAGCGCAGGCGGUCUCUUAAGUUUCGGAGUGACAGGUGGUGGCUCAACUGCCACAGGCCUUGGAAAACUGGGAGACUUGAGGACUUCAGAGGAGUGCGGAAUUCCAGGUGGACGCGGUGAAAUGCGUAGAGAUCGGAAGAACACCAAAGGCGAAGGCAGCAUCCUGGGAAGUAACUGACGCUCAUGUGCGAAAGUUAGGGGAGCGGAACGGG
rnacentral:rRNA from 1 species